AUGCAUCACAUCGCCACUAUAAAACGCGCACCCUUGACCCCGUCGGAAACCCAUCGUUCCGCCGCCGCGACCGCGAUGGCGUACCGCCGGAAGCCGCAGUCCUCCUUCGAGCACCACCACCACCACCCGCACCCCGUUAGCCCUCCCUCCCCGCCGCAGGACUCCCUCGCCGCGCAGGCCAUGCGCGCCUCCGCCGCCCACCGAGACGCCUCUUCUCUCUCCUCCGCCUACUCCUCGGCUGCCUCCGCGGCCGCCGCCGCUCGCAGGAGCCACGAGCCCUCCGUCUCCACCCCUUCCCCUGACUCUUCCAGCUAUGGGUACACGUCCAUGAAGAGCUUGAACGAAGCCAAGUACGGAUUUUGGGGGACGCUUGCUCGGAAAGCAAAGUCACUUAUUGACGAGGAUGGGUCGCCGGAGCAGUAUGAUUCCCCGACGAGACAGCAGCCGCCAAGAGAUGGUACAUCACCAGCUAUCCAUAGACAACACUUGCAACAGCCAGCGCCAGAGACAUGGAAAUCCGAGACACCUCCAUCUCAGAAGAGGUCCGAGGCAUUAGCUUCCUCCCUUAACUAUAUUGGAGGCACAAUAAAGAGUGCCCUCGAAGAAGGUCGGACUAUUGUAGAGACUAAAACAGCUGACAUUAUUCAGGAGACGCGUAAACUGAAUAUAAGGCGGAAAGGAGCUGGAUCAAAUCCACAAGGAGAAACUUCUCACAAAUUUGCUCACAGAAAUUUUCCUCAAAAUCCACUCGAUUACGAAACUCAGUUGAAGGCAUCUCGCGACGUUGCAAAUGCCAUGUCAGCAAAAGCAAAGCUGCUAUUACGUGAACUGAAGACUGUGAAGGCAGAUUUAGCUUUUGCGAAGGAGCGCUGUGCUCAGCUUGAGGACGAGAAUAAAAUGUUGCGAGAAAAUCAAGACAAUGGUGAUAACCCAGAAGAUGAUGAUCUGAUCCGCCUACAAUUAGAGACACUAUUAGCUGAGAAGGCGCGGCUUGCACAUGAAAACUCGGUGUAUGCUCGAGAAAAUAGAUUCCUACGUGAAAUUGUAGAGUAUCACCAACUUACUAUGCAGGAUGUCAUAUAUGUGGAUGAAGGCAUCGAAGAGGUCACUGAGGUGUACCCUACUCAAGUACUGCCUCCAGCGUCUGCUCGCACUGGGUCGGGCCUAGGUCGCGCAUCAACUCCAGUGACACUCAAACAUGUUAACUCAUCUCCGGCCUCCACAUCCGCCCUUCCGGAACCUUGUCCGGUCGUGCCGGUUUCUCCGAAGAUGCUUUCUCGGGCUUCAUCUCAAAGCAAAUAG
rnacentral:rRNA from 1 species